GACGAACGCUGGCGGCGUGCUUAACACAUGCAAGUCGAGCGGUAAGGCCCUUUCGGGGGUACACGAGCGGCGAACGGGUGAGUAACACGUGGGUGACCUGCCCUCAGCUCUGGGAUAAGCCUGGGAAACCGGGUCUAAUACUGGAUAUGACUCCAUGACGCAUGUUGUGGGGUGGAAAGCCUUGUGCGGCUGAGGAUGGGCCCGCGGCCUAUCAGCUUGUUGGUGGGGUGAGGCCUACCAAGGCGACGACGGGUAGCCGGCCUGAGAGGGCGACCGGCCACACUGGGACUGAGACACGGCCCAGACUCCUACGGGAGGCAGCAGUGGGGAAUCUUGCGCAAAUGGGCGAAAGCCUGACGCAGCGACGCCGCGUGAGGGAUGACGGCCU
rnacentral:rRNA from 1 species